CAAUAGCGUAUAUUAAAGUUGUUGCAGUUAAAAAGCUCGUAGUUGGAUUUCGGGUGGGACGCAGCGGUCUCGCAUUGCGUUUGUACUGCUGCAGCCCUCCUUCUUGCCGGGGGCGGCCUCUCGGACUUCACUGUCUGGGGGUCAGAAUCGGCGAUGUUACUUUGAGUAAAUUAGAGUGUUCAAAGCAAGCUUACGCUCUGAAUAUAAUAGCAUGGGAUAACACGACAGGACUCUGGCCUAUCGUGUUGGUCUAUAGGACCAGAGUAAUGAUUAAGAGGGACAGUCGGGGACAUUCGUAUUUCAUUGUCAGAGGUGAAAUUCUUGGAUUUAUGAAAGACGAACUUCUGCGAAAGCAUUUGUCAAGGAUGUUUUCAUUAA
rnacentral:rRNA from 1 species